rnacentral:misc_RNA from 1 species
CGCACCUUGCGCUUCUUGGUAUUCCGAGAAGAAUGCCUGUUUGAGUGUCAUUAAAUUCUAAAACCCUUUCGGUAUUUUGUAUGCUGAUUGUGGCUUGGAUAUUGGGGGUUCUUGCAGGCCUUGUUAUAAUAUAGAGGUCAGCUCCCCUAAAAUACAUUAGCAGAACUGUUUGCGGUCUGUCACUGGUGUGAUAAUUAUCUGCACCAAGGCACUGCUCUCUGAGUUGUUCAGCUUCUAAUUGUCUUAUCAGACAACUAUUGAACUUUUGACCUCAAAUCAGGUAGGACUACCCGCUGAACUUAA